AUUUUUUUUUUAAUGACUGAAUUUAUACUAAUUAAAUAAAGUGACACUCUUAACACUACUGUCAGGCUUCCCUUAGUAUCCCAAGUAGUUAGUUCCCAUGUUAAACAUUCCCAGCUGUACAUAAAGGUAUAUGAACAAAAGAGAGAGAUGAAAAAAUAGAACUACCAGUAUAUAUUUGUUAAGUAUAAUAAACUCUAUAUAUACAUAUAUUUCUAUCUGUACACCCAAAUGUGAAUGGACACUACCAAUUGAAAUCACAAGCAGAUGGUAGAUAUUAAUUCUAUCAUACAGGUACACAGUUUAAAUUAAAGGUUCUUAAUAUUUUAUCAGAAAUGUAUACUAUGUAGACUUGCUGGAGAAUAAUAUUUAGGGGCCAAGAGAACCACUAGUUGAAGGCUUUAUUGUUUAUAUUAUAAUGAACAUGGCUACAUGUUCUCAACAGUGAUAAGUCUAUGUGUUGAAGAAACAAGAUAGAAAUACACAGUAGCCAAAAUAAAAGUCACCAAAGUAGCAAAAGAUACACAAUUCUUGAUAACAUUUCUUGGUAAUAUUCCAAUUCAGCUGAAAGUAUUUCACAGCUGUCUGCUAACAGAAGGAAAGUGACUUUCAGACAAACUAAAACAUCAACAGUUUGAGUGAUACAUCUUGAAUCUGUUCAACUUGCUUGUCUUUUUAUUUAUUGGACAAGCCA